CGGUUGAUCCUGCCGGACCUCACUGCUAUCGAGGUGGGAUUAAGCCAUGCUAGUCGGACGACCCCGGACUAUGGCGGGGAAGUGGCAGACUGCUCAGUAACACGUAGCUAACCUACCCUUGGGACGGGGACAACCCCGGGAAACUGGGGCUAAUUCCCGAUAGGUGUGGAGGCCUGGAAUGGUUCCACGCCCAAAGGUCCUCGCGCCCACGUCGCGCGCAGACGCCCAAGGAUGGGGCUGCGGCCGAUCAGGCUGUUGGUGAGGUAAAGGCUCACCAAACCUUUGACCGGUACGGGCCGUGAGAGCGGUAGCCCGGAGAUGGGCACUGAGACAAGGGCCCAGGCCCUACGGGGCGCAGCAGGCGCGAAACCUCCACAAUGCACGCAAGUGCGAUGGGGCUACCUCGAGUGCCGUCUGAAGAAGGCGGCUUUUCCACGGUGUAAUGAGCCGUGGGAAUAAGAGGGGGGCAAGACUGGUGUCAGCCGCCGCGGUAACACCAGCCCCUCGAGUGGUGGGGACGUUUAUUUGGCCUAAAGCGUCCGUAGCCGGCUUGGUAAGUCCCUCGUUAAAUCCAGCGUCUCAAGCGCUGGGCCGCGAGGGAGACUGCCGAGCUAGAGGGUGGGAGAGGUCAGCGGUAUUCCUGGGGUAGGGGCGAAAUCCAUUGAUCCCAGGAGGACCACCAGUGGCGAAGGCUGCUGACCAGAACACGCCUGACGGUCAGGGACGAAAGCUGGGGGAGCGAAUCGGAUUAGAUACCCGAGUAGUCCCAGCCGUAAACGAUGCAGGCUAGGUGUUGGGGCGGCCACGGGCCGCCUCAGUGCCACAGGGAAGCCAUUAAGCCUGCCGCCUGGGGAGUACGGCCGCAAGGCUGAAACUUAAAGGAAUUGGCGGGGGAGCACCACCAGGCGUGAAGCCUGCGGUUUAAUUGGAGUCAACGCCGGAAACCUUACCGGGAGCGACAGCAGAAUGAAGGCCAGGUUGAAGGUCUUGCUGGACGAGCUGAGAGGAGGUGCAUGGCCGUCGCCAGUUCGUGCCGUGAGGUGUCCUCUUAAGUGAGGUAACGAACGAGACCCGCGCCCCUUGUUGCCACCAAAUCCUAUAGGGAUGUUGAGCACUCUUGGGGGACCGCUGCCGAUAAGGCAGAGGAAGGGGCGGGCAACGGCAGGUCAGUAUGCCCCGAAUCUCCCGGGCCACACGCGGGCUGCAAUGGUAGGGACAGAGGGUCGCGACCCCGAGAGGGGGAGCCAAUCCCUAAACCCUACCUCAGUUGGGAUCGAGGGCUGCAACCCGCCCUCGUGAACAUGGAAUGCCUAGUAACCGCGCGUCAUCAUCGCGCGGUGAAUACGUCCCCGCUCCUUGCACACACUGCCCGUCGAACCACCCAAAUGGAGUCUGGG
rnacentral:rRNA from 1 species